rnacentral:lncRNA from 1 species
UGCUGCUUUGAAUUUGUUUUUGCUUGUGCAUCUGUUUUUUGCUUGUGUGCUUUAUUUUCAUUUAUGCUUUUGUUUGAAGUUGCAAUCAUAAAGUACAAUGUAUAUAUACAUAGACUGCAUGUUAGUUCAUAGUCUUAUUAUUUAAGCUUAAUUUUUUCUCUUCUUUAGUUUAAACCAUAAAUACAUGUGUUACUUAUCAUCUUUCUUUGGUACAUACAGGAAGACCCGAAUACUGAAGAAAAUGCCUUAUGAGUCCAUUAUAAAAACAGAUGUUUUAAAAAAGGAAAAAGGAAAAAAAAUGAUGUAAAAAUUAUCUAUAGAUGAGUAAAGAAAUAAACUUAGAUCAAUAUUUUAGCAUUCUAAUAUUUAGUGCUUUCAUAAUGACCAAUCCUGUGAGAUUUGAACUACAGGGACAACAACCCAACAACACGCCUUAAAUCAAACAAACACAAAGUGUUAAAUCUGUAGUGUUUUGGAAUUUGAAAGGGAUAUAUUCUUUGGACUAAAUUGUUGAUAUUUCAAACUUUAAAUUUUCUUUACCUAGUAUGUUUUACAUCAGCAUCUGCACCCUUUUAUCAAAAUUAAGACUACAUAGUACUGUAUGUACCAACCAUGUUCCUCCUUGAUACAUGUAUGUUCAAAUGUACAAAAAUAUACUGUUAGAAUUAUU